CAUGACCAUACACCCCUUGGCUAGGAUCGGGGCGAAAAGGGUGCCUUUGAUUUGAUUUUGCUCGGAGCUCCAUCUCCAUAAGCCUUUGAAAGGCUUCGGGGGGAUUGCCUGAAAGAGUAUAUCCACACAGAUCCGGAAUUAAAUUAUAAUAAAAAGGCCGCACCAGCAGAUUUAAGCAGUCCCAACCAGUCAUGCUCAAGAGGACAAUAGAAUUAUAAUUAAUUAUAAGAGGCUUUCUAGGAAACCCCCAAUGGCCUAUGGGACAAUAUCUGGAGUGGGAGACUUUGGGAGGAAGAACAUAAUAGUGAUCAACAAAAAUUGGAAACUGCAUAUCCCAGAAAGCCAAGGCUAACAACACAGUCCACAUCACAUUUAACCAAGCAAACAAGCAGCCACAACCUUUUUAGUUGACUACCGUGACACAGCAAAGAGCAGUCGGUAAGCGACCAUAGUCAUUGUAAGCUGAUUUGAAAAGAGUUGCAGAUAUUACUUGUUUCCUUGGAGAUUAUCGUUGACCACAUAAAGUUAUAAGGGUUAAAAGAGCAUUGUUUUUUACCAGGCAUUAGAAUCCCCCGGCUGCCAGUGUUAGGCUGG